UUCAGCCUUACCUAGAAGAUUAAAUCCAUCAUGGCUUUACAGUCCAUGGUAAAACCAUCUCAGGAAGAUCACAUGGUAGUUUUUAGCUUAUCCUAAAUGGCUGGUGGCAAAUUACUACAUUUAGUACAAGUUCUCACAUAUAUGUGCCUCACACGGAGAUUGUGAUUUAUCCCAGAAAACAUAAUGAAUUUUCAUUUUUGUUGUGACUUGUGCAUGUGGAAAAUUUGUUAUUUCUUUUUUUUUUCAACUUCUUUUUUUUUUCUUUUUUUUUUUGGAGCUGGGGACUGAACCCAGGGCCUUGUGCUCGCUAGGCAAGCGCUCUACUGCUGAGAGUCUAUCAUGGCUGUUCUCUGAGAGUUUCCAUCCACCAAUUGACUUAGGCAGAUGAAACCGCCAAAGAUUGGAUGGAACUUGAGGAUUCUUAUGGAAGAAUAGGAUGAGGAUUGCACUCCCUAAGGGGAUAGGAACUCCACAGAAUGACCAACAGAGUCAACAAACCUGGACCCUUGGAGCUCUCAAAGACUAAACCACCAGCCAACGAACAUAAAGAGGAUGAACCUAGGACUCCCCUCAUAUUUGUAGCAGAUGCACAGCUUGUUCUCCAUGUGGGUUCCAAACAACUGGAAUGGGGGUUAUCUCAAAAGCAUUUGGCUGUAUUUGGAACAUGUUCUUCUAUCUGGGUUGCCUUGUCUAACCUUAGUGGGAAAGCACUAAGCACCUAGCUUCACGGAGACUUGAAGUUACAAGUCUAUCACACAAUCAAAUCCAAGAGCUGUUCCCACAGAAGGAUACAGAAAGAUACAUUGGGGAAAUUUAAAAAUCAUAUAGUGACCUGCUACACAUGAUGAAAUUCAGCUACAUUCAAGAGAGAACCAGAACUCUGAAGCUGGUCUCUGGCAGACAGGGGCACAACAGAGAGCUUAUCCUGGUGUCCCAGUUGGUUCUGGUCACUCCCACUGACUCAUGUCAACUCAGUGGAGGCCUGGCUGUUGCUGCUGGAUCACAUCACCACUGCUGAUUCAUGUGUGGUAUCCUGACACCACUAAAUUGGACUGCUGGUGUCCCAAGAACAGAGAUUGGAAUCAUCCCAAAUAACUACUUCUAAACAGGUCCACAUCCCCUUGUCCUAUUUAGCAUCUUUUCUUUCCUACCUUGGAUGAUGGGCUGGUGUGGGUGUGGGGGGUGUUGAAGAAAGGUUGAAAACCCUUAUUAAAAUACAUUUUGCAAAAUCUAA